rnacentral:rRNA from 1 species
UGCAGGUCGAGCGGGCGUAGCAUACGUCAGCGGCAGACGGGUGAGUAACGCGUGGGAACGUACCUUUUGGUUCGGAACAACACAGGGAAACUUGUGCUAAUACCGAAUAAGCCCUUACGGGGAAAGAUUUAUCGCCGAAAGAUCGGCCCGCGUCUGAUUAGCUAGUUGGUGAGGUAACGGCUCACCAAGGCGACGAUCAGUAGCUGGUCUGAGAGGAUGAUCAGCCACAUUGGGACUGAGACACGGCCCAAACUCCUACGGGAGGCAGCAGUGGGGAAUAUUGGACAAUGGGCGCAAGCCUGAUCCAGCCAUGCCGCGUGAGUGAUGAAGGCCCUAGGGUUGUAAAGCUCUUUUGUGCGGGAAGAUAAUGACGGUACCGCAAGAAUAAGCCCCGGCUAACUUCGUGCCAGCAGCCGCGGUAAUACGAAGGGGGCUAGCGUUGCUCGGAAUCACUGGGCGUAAAGGGUGCGUAGGCGGGUCUUUAAGUCAGGGGUGAAAUCCUGGAGCUCAACUCCAGAACUGCCUUUGAUACUGAAGAUCUUGAGUUCGGGAGAGGUGAGUGGAACUGCGAGUGUAGAGGUGAAAUUCGUAGAUAUUCGCAAGAACACCAGUGGCGAAGGCGGCUCACUGGCCCGAUACUGACGCUGA